AAUCAACGCUGGCGGCGUGCCUCAGACAUGCAAGUCGAACGCGAAAGGUUCCUUCGGGAGCCGAGUAGAGUGGCGCUCGGGUGAGUAACACGUAGGUAAUUUGCCUUUGGGUGGGGAAUAACAAUCGGAAACGGUUGCUAAUACCGCAUAAUGCAGCGGCUCGACAUCGAGACAGUUGUUAAAGCGGGGGAUCCUUCGGGACCUCGCGCCUAAAGAGAAGCCUGCGGCGGAUUAGCUAGUUGGUGAGGUAAUGGCUCACCAAGGCGACGAUCCGUAACCGGCCUGAGAGGGCGGACGGUCACACUGACACUUAAAUACGGGUCAGACUCCUACGGGAGGCAGCAGUCGGGAAUUUUGGGCAAUGGGCGAAAGCCUGACCCAGCAACGCCGCGUGAAGGAUGAAAUCCCNCGGGAUGUAAACUUCGCAAGAACGGGAAGAAUAAGCGAGAGUAAAUACCUCUCGUGAUGACGGUACCGUUUGUAAGCUCCGGCUAACUCCGUGCCAGCCGCCGCAGUAAU
rnacentral:rRNA from 1 species